UCCCCCGUCAGCUCUUUUCUGGUCAGCUCUGUUCAUUUGAAUUGUAUAUUUGCGACCAUGGCUUGCCCCAAAUUUUGUUUGUCAGGUUGGUUGGCUGCUACCGUAUGAAACUGCCCACUUAGCGCUUCCCAACCUCUGAUAAUUACAGGUUGUAGGAACAUUUCUGGAAUCACAUGUAUAUCGAUCACUUCCAAAUGAAUUUGUCGUUAGUACUACAUUUUUUAUAGCAGUUGCUUCCAAGUGAAUUGUCGUUAGUAUUCCUAAUGUUGCUAGCGUCUUCUUCUCUGAAUUUACUUCUUAAAACCACCGCCCAAGAUAACAUCGACAUCAAUUUUGAUAUGUCUGACAUGUUUGAUCUUAUUUGACUGCAGGAGUGUAGUGCAAAACAAAAGUCUACUGACAUUGCUGGCUUGCAGCUGUAACUGGUUGUCUCUCAAGUUUUGAUUGCACAGUAGUACAAUUUAGUUUCUAUGAGGUUUCGAUUGCACAAUGGUCCAAUUUAGUCUCAUCUACCAUGAUUCAUUCUAGAGACCAUUUUUCAGGCUUUUAGCCUUAUUGUUGAGGCGUAAAAUACAUCAGCGUGGGCACGAUUUGUUCCCCUCCUGUAAUCUAAUCAUGAGCUAGCUAAUUUGUAAUCUAAUCAACCGUGCCAUGUGCGUGCGCCCUUAUCAAUCCUGGUUCAGAGAAUGCAUUGGGCUAUUUGUUUUGCUCAUUAACUUUUACCCAAAGUAAUAACUGGAUAACUUAACUUUGUGUGUUGUUGUAUGCUGAAGCUGACAUUCUGCAUAUCUGCAUGUUCCAUUUUAGAUGUACAAGAAAGCAGGAGAUGAGAAAGAAAAAAAGCUGCCCUCCAUUGUUCACUGCCUCUUCUCGAUCCACGAGACAUGGCUCCAGGUUUUUGUAAGAGGUCAAUGUACUGGCAGCUGCAGUCGCCAUCUACUCAUGAAGCUCCUUAGGUACUCGAGAUACGACGCGACGGUCUGUGUGCCCAAAUGGUAGGGCUUCGAGAAGAUACCUGGAGGUGAACAUGAGUACAUUGAAUAUUAGUGGACUUGGAUCAUCUUAUGGUCUGCCUAUACAUGUAACUUGAUCAUGGUAAGCUAGAUGUACCAGCACUGAUCACUUCCUUGACACUCAUCCUACACGUCUCCUUGUGAAAUAAUUGUUGGUGAUGUCCCUUGUUCAUAUUAUGUUCCUUGUAGAAAUUUUUGUUGCAAACUGAACAAGGAUAGAUGACAACAGGACAGGAACCAAAAUAUAUUGAUACCUAGCUUUGUUUUUGUUGAGUGACAUGUUUGAAUAGCAGCUUAAUUGGAAAAAUUUAACACAGUUGCAUGUGCAGUGCUUUUUAACCGACCAUAUUCUACUGAACGUCUGACUCCCCCUUAAGAUUUAGGUUGGAAAUAUACUGGAGUAAUAGUGGAAGCCACUUUUUGCUUUGGUGAUUUUGUGAAGUUCAGAUUUUGGUUUAUCACUAUUCAGACUAAUCUUUGUAACAAUUUCUUGAGAUCUGCCUACAGUACAUGAAUUUAGUAUCAGUUUACAUACUAUAUACACACAUGACAAGUUUUUUGUGGGGGAAAUUUAAUCCAGCAAAAGCAUUGUCAUUGUUAUUCCCUACAAGUUACUUGAAGAAGAAGAAAAAUGCCCUUUAGACAUUUUUAAGAAGCAAAACAAAUCUUUCUUUCUAUAAUUGCAGAAAUCCAUGGAAUCCUUGUGGUAGUUAUUUCUCCGGGUAUGGCAAAAGUCAUGGAGUAUUUACUAUUUGUACAUGUAAGUGCACACCCAAGUGCAUCGAUAUCAGUAGGCUUUCUGUAGUAUAACUAAUUUAACAUUCUGCGAAAUUCAUUUCUUGGUCUUUGCAUGACCACCUCUGCAUCAUACACAAAGUGCUCAGAAGAAUACAUCAUGCAGUGACUCCUAUAAGGAAGGAAUGGAACGAGUAUUGAUGUUUCACUUUUAUCUGUGUUUGUACUUUGCUUUGUCCUAGGAAAUCUGGCUAAUGAUCAUCACUUUUACAGCACACAUGACACAUCAUAAUGAAACUAUUCUCCUUUCUUCUAUUGAAGUCCAUGCAUAUCAUGACAUGCAUUGGAGGACUCAAAUUUCAUUUUUGUUAUUGUUUACAUUACUUCCUAAUUAAGUCCGCUAAACAUUUGUAAAACAGAAGCUUUCUGCAAGCAUUAUAUUUUCCGCCGAAUGUGCUAUUGUACAAAACAUUUUACUUCACAUGUGAGCAAAAUAUAAUGUACAUUAUGCCGAUUAACUUUCUUCCGAACUUUUGUAUCACCACAAGGGAGAUUGUGGUAGUGUAGUACCGAGGAAUUAAUCCUCAAAUUCUUCGGAUUUCUGGGAGUGGUGCACUGUAUUCUAUGGACUUCUGGGAAUUAAGCCCCAAAUUCUUGGGAGUUCCUCGCUAGAAUAUUCUAUGGUUGCAACAGUAUUUCUAUUGGGAUGCAGUUACAAUUAUCUCAAGGAUAAUGGCAUGCUAGAUUUUUUGAGUUCUGGGAGUGUUGUACAUAUGCACAUUCUUAUAAAGGUGCAUGUAAUCAAAUUCUGGCUUCCUUUUAUCUCUGCAUCUAUUGUCCAUAUUACUCAUAUAAAACUUUGAUGGUCAGUUUAUUUGCGCACAAAUGAAAUUCCAUAAUUUAAUAAUUUGAUCCUCUAUUAUAAUGCUACCAACUGUUAUUUUUCAUCAAACCAUAUGUUAUGCUUAAGCUGUCUGUUGCUUUUGUUGAUUACCAGCUUACAUAGAUUAGUACAAUAUAUUCUUAUAAGGUUAAGUGCCCUCCUUAGAUCUACGGGCUUUAGUAAUAGGUGCCACCACCAGUUUGAGUUCUCAUAUAUACGAUCUACGACAAUUUCAAAAGAUGAGUAAUUAGUUCAGAUCAUACUACUUCCCAUUACAGCUUUCUCUAUGUAUACUUGGAGAGCAGUGUGUGUUUUAUCUACAAUAUGCAUACCCCCAUUGCACCAUAGUUCCACUCCAGGAGAUGCUGAGAUAAACUGAAAAUGGAGGAAAAAUUGUCCGACUCUUCCUGCUAGCAGGUGGUACCCGCUAUGACUCCCAUGGGUGGGAUUACCGUGGCCGCCGCCGAGCCUUCAAAUUCAGAAGAUAACAAGCAGCCCAAAAUCUAAGAAGGAAGCUAAUUCAGUUCUUCCAAGAUUGCUAUUUUUAGGGAGGUUUUUGUUCCAACUUUGCAUUGACGACACCAUGUUCAUUUGGACAAUUUUUAUAUGUUCCUUUGAAGUUCACCCAAGAAAAUAAAAAAAUCUGAAAUCUUCAUCGGAUAUUUAAUUUGAUUCCAUUUUUACUAUACAAUAGACUAAAUAGGCCACACCCAUAUAUUCUCUAUGUAGAAGUUGUUCAUCCAAUUGAUUCCCAUUGAUUUGUAACUUUUUUUUGUACAAUUAUGAUUUCUUUGUGG